UACAGGGGGUGCGAGCGUUAAUCGGAAUUACUGGGCGUAAAGCGUGCGUAGACGGUUUCGUAAGUCGGGUGUGAAAUCCCCGGGCUCAACCUGGGAAUUGCAUUCGAAACUGCGAGGCUAGGGUACGGAAGAGGGAAGCGGAAUUUCUGGUGUAGCGGUGAAAUGCGUAGAUAUCAGAAGGAACAUCAGUGGCGAAAGCGGCUUCCUGGUCCAGUACCGACGUUCAGGCACGAAAGCGUGGGGAGCAAACAGG
rnacentral:rRNA from 1 species